rnacentral:rRNA from 1 species
UACGUAGGGUCCAAGCGUUAUCCGGAUUUAUUGGGCGUAAAGAACAUGUAGGUGGUUGACACGUCUCGUUUUAAAGCUCUGGCUUAACCCAGAAUCUGGACGAGAUACGGUCUUACUUGUGGUCAGCAGGGGCAAAUGGAAUUCCGGUGUAGGAGUGAAAUCCGUUGAUAUCGGGAGGAACACCAAUGGCGAAGGCAGUUGCUAGGCUGAUUCAGACGCUGAGAUGUGAAAGCGGUGGGAGCGA